UGGCGGCGCACAUAAGACAUGCAAGUCCAACGGAAGUCGUUAUAAAAAGGAUUGAAGAUUUAUCUGAUUGAGAUUUUAUAACAAUGGCUUUAGUGGCGGACUGGUGAGUAACGCGUGAGCAACCUGCCUACUAGAGGGGAAUAACAGUGAGAAAUCAUUGCUAAUACCGCAUAUGCCAUGAACAUCACAUGAUGAAAAUGGGAAAAGAGUAAUCUGCUAGUAGAUGGGCCCGCGUCUGAUUAGAUAGUUGGUGAGGUAACGGCUCACCAAGUCGCCGAUCGGUAGCCGGACUGAGAGGUUGAACGGCCACAUUGGGACUGAGACACGGCCCACACUCCUACGGGAGGCAGCAGUGGGGAAUAUUGCACAAUGGGCGAAAGCCUGAUGCAGCAACGCCGCGUGAGGGAAGACGGUUUUCGGAUUGUAAACCUCUGUUUUCUGUGACGAACAAAUGACGGAAACCGAGUAGGAAGCCACGGCUAACUACGUGCCAGCAACCGCGGUAAUACGUACGUGGCAAGCGUUAUCCGGAAUUACUGGGUGUAAAGGGAGCGCAUGCGGGAUAGCUCGUCAGCUGUGAAAACUAUGGACUCAACCCAUCAACUGCAGUUGAUACUGUUAUUCUUGAGUGGAGUAGAGGCAAGCGGAAUUCCGAGUGUAGCGGUGAAAUGCGUAGAUAUUCAGAAGAACACCAGUGGCGAAGGCGGCUUGCUGGGCUCUAACUGACGCUGAGGCUCGAAAGUGUGGGGAGCAAACAGGAUUAGAUACCCUGGUAGUCCACACUGUAAACGAUGAUUGCUAGGUGUGGGGGGUCUGACCCCCUCCGUGCCGGAGUUAACGCAAUAAGCAAUCCACCUGGGGAGUACGGCCGCAAGGUUGAAACUCAAAGGAAUUGACGGGGGCCCGCACAAGCAGUGGAGUAUGUGGUUUAAUUCGACGCAACGCGAAGAACCUUACCAAGGCUUGACAUAUACAGGAAUAACUAAGAAAUUAGUUAGCUCUUCGGAGUCUGUAUACAGGUGGUGCAUGGUUGUCGUCAGCUCGUGUCGUGAGAUGUUGGGUUAAGUCCCGCAACGAGCGCAACCCUUAUGGUCAGUUACUACGCAAGAGGACUCUGGCCAGACUGCCGUUGACAAAACGGAGGAAGGUGGGGAUGACGUCAAAUCAUCAUGCCCUUUAUGACUUGGGCUACACACGUACUACAAUGGCGUUAAACAAAGAGAAGCAAGACCGCGAGGUGGAGCAAAACUCAGAAACAACGUCCCAGUUCGGACUGCAGGCUGCAACUCGCCUGCACGAAGUCGGAAUUGCUAGUAAUCGUGGAUCAGCAUGCCACGGUGAAUACGUUCCCGGGCCUUGUACACACCGCCCGUCACACCAUGAGAGCCGGGGGGACCCGAAGUCGGUAGUCUAACCGCAAGGAGGACGCCGCCGAAGGUAAAACUGGUGAUUGGGGUG
rnacentral:rRNA from 1 species